GACGAACGCUGGCGGCGUGCUUAACACAUGCAAGUCGAAUGGAAAGGCCCUGCUUUUGUGGGGUGCUCGAGUGGCGAACGGGUGAGUAACACGUGAGUAACCUGUCCUUGACUUUGGGAUAACUUCAGGAAACUGGGGCUAAUACCGGAUAGGAGCUCCUGCUGCAUGGUGGGAGUUGGAAAGUUUCGGCGGUUGGGGAUGGACUCGCGGCUUAUCAGCUUGUUGGUGGGGUAGUGGCUUACCAAGGCUUUGACGGGUAGCCGGCCUGAGAGGGUGACCGGCCACAUUGGGACUGAGAUACGGCCCAGACUCCUACGGGAGGCAGCAGUGGGGAAUAUUGCACAAUGGGCGGAAGCCUGAUGCAGCAACGCCGCGUGCGGGAUGACGGCCUUCGGGUUGUAAACCGCUUUCGCCUGUGACGAGGCGUGAGUGACGGUAAUGGGUAAAGAAGCACCGGCUAACUACGUG
rnacentral:rRNA from 1 species